UAAUUAGGAGCUGUGGUACUGUGUCAGUGU
rnacentral:piRNA from 1 species